AUUGAACGCUGGCGGCAGGCCUAACACAUGCAAGUCGAGCGGUAGAGAGAAGCUUGCUUCUCUUGAGAGCGGCGGACGGGUGAGUAAUGCCUAGGAAUCUGCCUGGUAGUGGGGGAUAACGUUCGGAAACGGACGCUAAUACCGCAUACGUCCUACGGGAGAAAGCAGGGGACCUUCGGGCCUAGCGCUAUCAGAUGAGGCUAGGUCGGAUUAGCUAGUUGGUGAGGUAAUGGCUCACCAAGGAGACGAUCCGUAACUGGUCUGAGAGGAUGAUCAGUCACACUGGAACUGAGACACGGUCCAGACUCCUACGGGAGGCAGCAGUGGGGAAUAUUGGACAAUGGGCGAAAGCCUGAUCCAGCCAUGCCGCGUGUGUGAAGAAGGUCUUCGGAUUGUAAAGCACUUUAAGUUGGGAGGAAGGGUUGUAGAUUAAUACUCUGCAAUUUUGACGUUACCGACAGAAUAAGCACCGGCUAACUCUGUGCCAGCCGCCGCAGUAA
rnacentral:rRNA from 1 species